rnacentral:lncRNA from 1 species
AUGUCUAUUAUCACACCUUCUAACCCUCUCCUCUUCUAUCUCCUUCUCUACCUCUCCUUCUCAUCCUCUAUUAUCACACCUUCUAACCCCUCCUCUUCUAUCUCCUUCUCUACCUCUCCUUCUCAUCCUCUAUUAUCACACCUUCUAACCCUCUCCUCUUCUAUCUCCUUCUCUACCUCUCCUUCUCAUCCUCUAUUAUCACACCUUCUAACCUCUCCUCUUCUAUCUCCUUCUCUACCUCUCCUUCUCAUCCUCUAUUAUCACACCUUCUAUCCCUCUCCUCUUCUAUCUCCUUCUCUACCUCUCCUUCUCACCCUCUCCUCUUCUAUCUCCUUCUCUACCCCUCUCCUUCUCACCCCUCUCCUCUUCUAUCUCUCCUUCUCUACCUCUCCUUCUCACCCUCUCCUAUUCUAUCUCUCCUUCUCUACCUCUCCUUCUCACCCUCUCCUCUUCUAUCUCUCCUUCUCUACCUCUCCUUCUCACCCUCUCCUCUUCUAUCACUCCUUCUCUCCCUCUCCUUCUCACCCUCUCCUCUUCUAUCUCUCCUUCUCUACCUCUCCUUCUCACCCUCUCCUCUUCUAUCUCUCCUUCUCUACCUCUCCUUCUCACCUUCUCCUAUUCUAUCUCUCCUUCUCUACCUCUCCUUCUCACCCUCUCCUCUUCUAUCACUCCUUCUCUUCCUCUCCUUCUCACCCUCUCCUAUUCUAUCUCUCCUUCUCUUCCUCUCCUUCUCACCCUCUCCUAUUCUAUCUCUCCUUCUCUACCUCUCCUUCUCACCCUCUCCUCUUCUAUCUCUCCUUCUCUACCUCUCCUUCUCACCCUCUCCUCUUCUAUCUCUCCUUCUCUUCCUCUCCUUCUCACCCUCUCCUCUUCUAUCUCUCCUUCUCUACCUCUCCUUCUCACCCUCUACUCUUCUAUCUCUCCUUCUUUACCUAUCCUCUUGUAUCUCUCCUUCUCAGGGAGAUGUGUUGUGAACAGCUCUUACCUCUAACUCAGACAUCCACAUUUAACACAUACUAA